GGUGUGGGUAGGGGGUUACAGCUGUGUGUAGGUACGGGGUUACAGCUGUGUCAAGGCGUAGGUAGGGAGUUACAGCUGUGUCAAGGUGUAGGUAGGGAGUUACAGCUGUGUCAAG